rnacentral:piRNA from 1 species
UGAAGCAUAGCUUGCAGACGCGCCUUGCCUU